rnacentral:rRNA from 1 species
GAUGAAUGCUGGCGGCGUGCCUAACACAUGCAAGUCGAGCGGCAGCGCGAGUAGUUUACUACUUGGCGGCGAGCGGCGGACGGCUGAGUAACGCGUGGGAACGUGCCCCAAAGUGAGGAAUAACUGCCCGAAAGGUUGGCUAAUGCCGCAUAUGAUCUUAGGAUUAAAGGAUUUAUCCGCUUUGGGAGCGGCCCGCGUCGGAUUGGGUUGUUGGUGAGGUAAUGGCUCACCAAGCCGACGAUCCGUAGCUGGUGUGAGAGGAUGAUCAGCCACACUGGGACUGAGACACGGCCCAGACUCCUACGGGAGGCAGCGGUGGGGAAUAUUGGACAAUGGGGGAAACCCUGAUCCAGCAAUGCCGCGUGAAUGAAGAAGGCCUUAGGGUUGUAAAGUUCUUUCACCUGUGAAGAUAAUGACGGUAGCAGGAGAAGAAGCCCCGGCUAACUCCGUGCCAGCCGCCGCGGUAACAC